rnacentral:rRNA from 1 species
UGAGGAACAUGACCUUCGGCGGGGGAUAGCCGGCCCAACGGCCGGGUAAUACCGCGUACGACCACAUGGGGACAUCCCUGAGUGGUGAAAGCAGCAAUGCGCCGAUGGAGUGCCUCGCGGCCUAUCAGCUAGUUGGUGAGGUAACGGCUCACCAAGGCGACGACGGGUAGCUGGUCUGAGAGGAUGGCCAGCCACAUUGGGACUGAGACACGGCCCAGACUUCUACGGGAGG